CCCUUAGAUGUUCUGGGCCGCACGCGCGCUACACUGAUGCAUUCAACGAGCCUAUCCUUGGCCGACAGGUCCGGGUAAUCUUUGAAUCUGCAUCGUGACGGGGAUAGAUUAUUGCAAUUAUUAAUCUUCAACGAGGAAUGCCUAGUAGGCGCAAGUCAUCAGCUUGCGUCGAUUACGUCCCUGCCCUUUGUACACACCGCCCGUCGCUCCUACCGAUUGGGUGUGCUGGUGAAAUGUUCGGAUCGGCCGUUUGUCGCGGUUUCCGCGUCAUGUGGCUGAGAAGUUCAUUAAACCCUCCCACCGAGAGGAAGGAGAAGUCGUAACA
rnacentral:rRNA from 1 species